rnacentral:lncRNA from 1 species
AGGGGAGGAGCCAAGAUGGCUGAAUAGGAACAGCUCCGGUCUAUAGUUCCCAGCAUGAGCGACGCAGAAGACAGUGAUUUCUGCAUUUCCAUCUGAGGAAGUCAAGGACCCCGAAUGGAGGGACUGGCUGGAGCCGCCGCAGAGGAACAUAAAUUGUGAAGAUUUCAUGGACAUUUAUCCGUUCCCAAAUAAUACUUUUAUAAUUUCUUACGACUGUCUUUACUUUAGUUUCUUAAUCCUGUUAUCUUCGUAAGCUGAGGAUGUACAUCAGCUCAGGACCACUAUGAUAAUUGUGUUAACUGUACAAAUUGAUUGUAAAACAUGUGUGUUUGAACAAUAUGAAAUCAGUGCACCUUGAAAAACAACAGAAUAACAGCGACUUUUAGGGAACAAGGGAAGACAACCGUAAGGUCUGACUGCCUGUGGGGUUGGGCAAAAAGAGUCAUAUCUUUCUUCUUGCAGAAAGCCUAUAAACGGACGUGCAAGUAGGAGAGAUAUCACUAAAUUCUUUUCCUAGCAAGGAAUAUUACUAUUAAUACCCUGGGAAAGGAAUGCAUUCCUGGGGAGAGGUCUAUAAAUGGCCAUUCUGGGAGUGUCUGUCUUAUUUGGUUGAGAUAAGGACUGAGAUAUGCCCUGGUCUCCUGCAGUACCCUCAGGCUUAUUAGGGUGGGGAAAAGCUCCACCCUGGUAAAUUUGUGGUCAGACCGGGUCCUGCUCUUGAACCCUGUUUUCUGUUGUUUAAGAUGUUUAUUAAGACAAUACAUGCAUGGCUGAACAUAGACCCUUAUCAGUAGUUCUGCUUUGCCUUUGUCCUAUUCCCUCAGAAGCAUGUGACCUUUGUUCUGUUUUUUGCCCUUUGAAGCAUGUGAUCUUUGUACCUACUCCCUGUUUUACACCCCUUCCCCUUUUGAAACCCUUAAUAAAAAACUUGCCAGUUUGAGCCUCAGGUGGGCAUCACAGACCUACCGAUAUGUGAUGUCACCCCUGGCAGCCCAGCUAUAAAAUUCCUCUCUUUGUACUCUUUCUCUUUAUUUCUCAGCCGGCUGACACUUAUGGAAAAACAGAAAGAACCUACAUUGAAAUGUUGGGGGCAGAUUCCCCCGAUAUAGGAGCACAACAUUAUAUAAAUAGGAAAAUAGGUCCAGUUAACAUAGCAGCUGAAGACAGGCUGGGCUACGACAUACAGAAAAGGGAGUAAAUGCCUAAAACAUGUGAUCAGACAGCACAAUUACUUCUGUUAUUCAUCCAGCAUCUACUCUUGCAUAGCUACUGAAUGUUCCCCAUAAUUCCAAUCUCCUUAGUGAAACAUAAAGACAAAUGAAGCUAAUUAUUAGAUGAAAAAGAAGAGAUUUUAAUAAGCUAUUUUAUUAUUGUUUCUUUGCAUUAUUAGUUGCUUGGUAUUCAGUGAUUUUCCUACUUAAAAGAAUUAAACUAAUAAAAAUCUUCCCAAUCUUGUACUAAUUAUUUUAAAGAAAGGAAGAAUGUGAAACAUUUUAAACAUUCUUUUAAAAAUAUAGAAUGCACUCCAAAUAAAAGUCUGCCUUUGUUAUUUUCUCCCAUCCCCAAAUUCAUGUUCCAAAUGU